AGCACAGUGGCUUAAUGAUUAGAGCUGUUGUCUCACAGCAAGAAGGUUGCUGGUUCGAGUCCUGGCUGUGCCA
rnacentral:tRNA from 1 species